UACGUAGGGGGCAAGCGUUGUCCGGAAUUAUUGGGCGUAAAGAGCGCGUAGGCGGUCCGAUAAGUCGGCUGUGAAAGUCAGGGGCUCAACCCUGGAAAGCCGGCCGAUACUGUCGGACUAGAGUCCGGAAGAGGCAAGUGGAAUUCCCGGUGUAGCGGUGAAAUGCGCAGAUAUCGGGAGGAACACCAAUGGCGAAGGCAGCUUGCUGGGACGGUACUGACGCUGAGGCGCGAAAGCGUGGGGAGCAAACAGG
rnacentral:rRNA from 1 species